GACGAACGCUGGCGGCGUGCUUAACACAUGCAAGUCGAACGGAAAGGCCCUGCUUUUGUGGGGUGCUCGAGUGGCGAACGGGUGAGUAACACGUGAGUAACCUGCCCUUGACUUUGGGAUAACUUCAGGAAACUGGGGCUAAUACCGGAUAGGAGCUCCUGCUGCAUGGUGGGGGGUGGAAAGUUUCGGCGGUUGGGGAUGGACUCGCGGCUUAUCAGCUUGGUGGUGGGGUAGUGGCUUAUCAAGGCUUUGACGGGUAGCCGGCCUGAGAGGGUGACCGGCCACAAUGGUACUGAGACACGGCCCAGACGCCUACGGGAGGCAGCAGUGUGGAAUAUUGCACAAUGGGCGGAAGCCUGAUGCAGCAACCCCGCGUGCGGGAUGAAGGCCUUCGGGUUGUAAACCGCUUUCGCCUGUGACGAAGCGUGAAUGACGGUAAUGGGUAAAGAAGCACCGGCUAACUACGUG
rnacentral:rRNA from 1 species